rnacentral:rRNA from 6 species
AAACUAACAAGGAUUCCCCUAGUAACGGCGAGUGAAGCGGGAAAAGCUCAAAUUUAAAAUCUGGCAGUGUAUUCUGUCCGAGUUGUAGUCUAGAGAAGCAUCAUCCUGUGCUGGACCAUGUACAAGUCUCUUGGAACAGAGCGUCAUAGAGGGUGAGAAUCCCGUCCUUGACAUGGCCUUCCCAGUGCUUUGUGUUGUGCUCUCAACGAGUCGAGUUGUUUGGGAAUGCAGCUCAAAAUGGGUGGUAAAUUCCAUCUAAAGCUAAAUAUUGGCGAGAGACCGAUAGCGAACAAGUACCGUGAGGGAAAGAUGAAAAGCACUUUGGAGAGAGAGUUAAACAGUACGUGAAAUUGUUGAAAUGGAAACGCUUGAAGUCAGUCGCGUUCUCUGGGAUUCAGCCUUGCUUCUGCUUGGUGCAUUUCCUAGUCUACGGGCCAGCAUGAAUUUUGAUUGGUGGAAAAGGACUUGGGGAAUGUGGCACCUUCGGGUGUGUUAUAGCCCCUUGCCAUAUACACUGGUUGGGAUUGAGGACUUUCAGUGCACGCUUCAGUUGUGCUUUGAUGCUGGCGUAAUGGCUUUAAACGAC